UUGAAAAUCCCUCCCGACAGAGCACAGAACACGUAUUCUUAGCUUUUUAUGAACACUGAGGUAAUGUCAACAAGGUCGUUCGUUUGUUUUCAAAGACAAAUCCUAUAUUCUACAUUUUCCUACUGGAUUCUAGACCAAAAGUCCAUCUCUCCUCUCCCAAAUCUAAAACCACACACAAUAAAAGAGUAAACAUAUAUUUCGCCAUUUAAAAAGUUAAAGUCUCCCAUACACGCAAUCUCCCACUGCCUCGGACACACUAAGAUGUUUCCCCAAGGAGGAAUUGGUAGAAAAAAAAAAAAAAACAUCUUAGUCUCCCAAACUACCAUUUCAGAGAAGCCACCAGUUGGGUUAUAAUAAAACCACUUUCACGGGAUAUACUUGCAUCUUUCCCUUUCUACGACAACGAUCAUUGCCUCCAUGGAUUUUAAGGAUUUCAGCCUUUCAAAACAUGCAUUUAGAAAUACCCUCCACUUUCGAGAGUUCCUUUCAGUCCCAUUUGCGAAUGAAACGGAGGGAAUAAAAAAAUAGAAAGCAAAACGACAAAAAUCCCUCUCCAUUAACACACGCGAUCACCGAACAACCAUUCAGUAAUAACAAGUCUCACCCUCACAGAAGAGGAAGGGAAGACGAGGCCGCAGUACAUUGAGGAAGAGAGUGAACGGCCAGACGGUACAGAGGAAAGGCAAAGGGGCUGGUUGGCUGCGCGAGACGGACGAAAGUAGCUGAAGAAAAAACAUCAAAAAGAGGAAAGAGGAGUAGAAAAGGAAGGUCAAUAAGAAGAAAAGACAGGAAGAAGGAGAAAUAGAAGAAGAAAAAAAAAAGUGUUCCAAAAUCGGCAACGAGCAACGCCUUGGGUGCGAAGUCGACCCCGUGAAUCGGUAACUCCGCGGCGCCCCGGCACCCCCCCCCCCUCGAGGCACUAAUGGAGCCGUUCACCGCGGGCAUCCUGGCGGUGGGGGGCAUGAUCGCCGUGAUGCUGGCGGUCGUGGCUGCCCAGGAGAGCAACAGCAUCAAUAACAGGAAGAGCAAGAGCAAGAGCAAGAGCAAGGCCCCACCAAGCCCGCGGGAGGAGCAGAAAUCGCCCGAGGAGAAGAGAUACUGAAUUCCAAAAGCAUUUUGUUCUUGCUCUCUCUAAGAAUUAUUCAAAAGAAUUAUUCAAAUUUCCUUCUUUACUUUUUUUUUCUCCUCCCCUCCUAUCUUUUUUUUUUUUUUCAAAUUUCGCUUUUUUUCCUAAUUUUCUUUUUUUAAAUUUCGGAGAUUCGAAGUUUGUGAUGUGUUUUUGGGGAAAUGCCUCUUUUUUUUUCUAAAUCACCAUAUUUGAAAGCGGUUUCCCUUAGUGGCAUUUUAGGCCUUUUUACGUACAUCUGCCGGUUAGUUUGAGAUUUUUUUCUCUUGAAAGUUUUAAGCACUGUGAAUAUAUAUAUACUUGUUUUAGUUGCUAAUUAAUUUUAAUGAAUUUGUAAUAAUUA